UACGAAGGAGGCAAGCGUUGUCCGGAAUCAUUGGGCGUAAAGGGCGCGUAGGUGGCCCGGUCAGUUCGUGGUGAAAGCGCGGGGCUCAACCCUGCGUCGGCCAUGAAUACUGCCGCGGCUGGAGCACUGUAGAGGCAGGCGGAAUUCCGGGUGUAGCGGUGGAAUGCGUAGAGAUCCGGAAGAACACCGGUGGCGAAGGCGGCCUGCUGGGCAGUUGCUGACACUGAGGCGCGACAGCGUGGGGAGCGAACAGG
rnacentral:rRNA from 1 species